rnacentral:rRNA from 1 species
CGUAGGUGGCAAGCGUUGUCCGGAAUUAUUGGGCGUAAAGCGCGCGCAGGCGGUUCCUUAAGUCUGAUGUGAAAGCCCCCGGCUCAACCGGGGAAGGUCAUUGGAAACUGGGGAACUUGAGUGCAGAAGAGGAGAGCGGAAUUCCACGUGUAGCGGUGAAAUGCGUAGAGAUGUGGAGGAACACCAGUGGCGAAGGCGGCUCUUUGGUCUGUAACUGACGCUGAGGCGCGAAAGCGUGGGGAGCAAACAGGAUUAGAUACCCUGGUAGUCCACGCCGUAAACGAUGAGUGCUAAGUGUUAGAGGGUUUCCGCCCUUUAGUGCUGCAGCUAACGCAUUAAGCACUCCGCCUGGGGAGUACGGCCGCAAGGCUG